rnacentral:rRNA from 1 species
AUUGAACGCUGGCGGCAUGCCUUACACAUGCAAGUCGAACGGUAACAGGUCUUCGGAUGCUGACGAGUGGCGAACGGGUGAGUAAUACAUCGGAACGUGCCUAGUAGUGGGGGAUAACUACUCGAAAGAGUGGCUAAUACCGCAUGAGAUCUACGGAUGAAAGCAGGGGAUCGCAAGACCUUGUGCUACUAGAGCGGCCGAUGGCAGAUUAGGUAGUUGGUGGGAUAAAAGCUUACCAAGCCGACGAUCUGUAGCUGGUCUGAGAGGACGAUCAGCCACACUGGGACUGAGACACGGCCCAGACUCCUACGGGAGGCAGCAGUGGGGAAUUUUGGACAAUGGGCGCAAGCCUGAUCCAGCAAUGCCGCGUGCGGGAUGAAGGCCUUCGGGUUGUAAACUGCUUUUGUACGGAACGAAAAGCCCCGGGUUAAUACCCUGGGGUCAUGACGGUACCGUAAGAAUAAGCACCGGCUAACUACGUGCCAGCAGCCGCAGUAA